rnacentral:rRNA from 1 species
UAGGGAAUCUUCCACAAUGGACGCAAGUCUGAUGGAGCAACGCCGCGUGAGUGAAGAAGGCUUUCGGGUCGUAAAACUCUGUUGUUGGAGAAGAAUGGUCGGCAGAGUAACUGUUGCCGGCGUGACGGUAUCCAACCAGAAAGCCACGGCUAACUACGUG